rnacentral:misc_RNA from 1 species
UUGGGCACCUUCUGGCUUUGG